GGGCUGGAGGUCUUUAUGUGGUUUCUGUCCAGCUCUUCUCACAUAGCCGGGCAUAUCUGUUUGAAACAGAGUCUGCUCUGGUCACGGCACCUCAAACUCGAGGUCUAUCUCAUUUCUUAGUGCAGGCCAGCGGCCUUUUAGCCAGAAAUGAGAGAUGUGGGAUAAACGAUAAUGCUGUUACUGGACUAUGAAUUCCCUUGACCGGUGAAGUCAUGCAUGAUAUCAUAUGAGCUUCACUGUGGAUUGAUUUGGGGAAAACAUUUGGUAAUCUAAGUAGAGACUAGCCUCUCCGCUGGGAGUUUUAAAUUGCCUUUAUGGUAAAAUCAAGACUGGGGCUAGUUGUCACACCAUUCUCAGAAAUGAGUUUUUCAUGUAUGUCAUAAAAUUUCUGAUUGGUUAAAAAGGGUGGGCUUGUGAUUAUUUCAGACAGUCAAACAUCUAUCUAUCUAUCUAUCUAUCUAUCAGUAACAAAUAAGCAUUUAUUAUAUCCCUGAAUUCAGAUUUGAAACUGUAGAAGCAUAUUCUCCCCACAGCAUCAGCAACUUUUAUACACACAAACCAGAGAGAGAGAGAGAGAGAGAGAGGAGGGGGUGAGUGAAGGAGAAGACAUACUGCAGAGUUCAGCAGAGGAGAGAUGAAGAGAGCUGGAGACAGAGACCAAACCGACAUCACAGAGCUGUGAACACACAGGAGCUCAUGCACACACGCCGCCUUUGAGUUCAACUCCACGUCUCUUACACUAAGCAGCUCUGCUGUGGACUUCAACGCUGCAUCUGUGAUUAUUCUGGACUGGACCCCCUUUGGACUGUGUCUUAACAUGCUGGGAGUUCAAAGUGAUGCUCUGCUGUUUGGCUUGAUGGUUUGGAUGGGGAGCUUAUGGGGAGAGAUCACAGCCCAAGAUGAGUCCGGUUUGACCCCUCCAGCAAGCCUUGCACCAGUGAUGCAGGUACCAGUCCCUGAAGAAACCCCCAGAGGAGUUGCAUCCAUGGGGCAGGAAUUCCUAGGGUCAGUCCUGUCUCGUAAGGAUCAUCUUCUGGCCCAGAAGGGUGUGACUCUUCCCAGUGGUUUACCCCCUAAUUUGGUGCCCAUGUUGGGAAAGAGGCUGGGGGCCGGAGCAGCUGCCCUGUCCCCCGACCAGCCCCUCUUGAAGAAGAUGCUCCCUGCACACAGUGCCACUGGCAGCCCUACUUUACCUCCAGCUUACGACCUCCCCACCGAACCCCCGGAGGCCGUCGCAAUGCCCAGCUGGGAUACCGAUGCUCCGACCCCACUCCCGAAACCUUUGGGCACCGCUGCGGUUCCCACCACUGUGAAUGCUGAAACAGAGUCUGGUGUUUUCACCUCAGGUAAAAAAACUAGUAGAUGUUCCUCAUGCUGCUGUGCAUUUACAUACAAUUGACUCAGUUUAACUUUGUUGUUUUGUUGGUCUCGCAAGCUCUCAUGGAAA
rnacentral:lncRNA from 12 species